rnacentral:rRNA from 1 species
GUGCCAGCAGCUGCGGUAAUACGUAGGGGCAAGCGUUAUCCGGAAUCAUUGGGCGUAAAGGGUGCGUAGGCUGCCCUAUAGGUCAGAGGUCAAAGGCUACGGCUCAACCGUAGUAAGCCUUUGAAACUGUGGGCUUGAGUGCAGGAGAGGAGAGUGGAAUUCCUAGUGUAGCGGUGAAAUGCGUAGAUAUUAGGAGGAACACCAGUGGCGAAGGCGACUCUCUGGACUGCAACUGACGCUGAGGCACGAAAGCGU